GAAAGAAAGGGGCGUGGCUCUAACUAACGGUUGUGGAGAAGGGGAGGGGGGAGAGCGCGCGCCGCCGCCUUUCUGCGCAUGCGCGCGCGUUUUUCGGUUUCCCUCAUGGUUUGGAGCAAAACGGCCGUUUGAGAGCCAAUAAAAGAACAGCUAAGACCUAAGAAAGAUGAAAUGUGUUCAAACUAAGUCUCACCAUAAAUAGAUAUACCUGAAGAACAGAAGAUGGAAUAAAUGCAAGGAAAAGCAAUAAUGGUAGUCUGAUUGCUUCAUACCACUACCUUGUCUGGCCAAGUCAUUAAAAACAUUGCAAAUAGAAUGAAAAGGAGGCGUACACCAGCAUGCAAAUUAAAGAUAAGGAAGACAACAAUGAGACCAGAAUAUUAGCAGGAUUAACACAAGGGAAACAGCAACUUUUCCAUCUGGACUGAUGGAUGGCAUACAACUAUGGCUAUUGAGAGUCAAAAUCCCUUACCAAGAUUUUGACUUGAUAUAAAUCACCCUUCAUGGUGAUUUCUUUUCUUUCAUGGAUAAAAACACAGAAGAUGAAAGCAGAGAAGAAAUCAGAUUGAUGUAAGCCGUGGCUUAAGUCAGUGGCAGAACUAAAAAGAUGUUCAAUUUCUUCUCUGCCCACUUUGUUCCAUCACUUCUUUGAGGUUGUGCAUGACCCUUCUAUUUACUAGCCUUCAAAUAUCUGUUGUUGCCUAUGGAAAAAGUCUUUGACAUUCAGUAAAUGCCCUCUUCCAUGGAAUGGAGCCAAGCUAGUAAUGAAAUGAAUGGUGGACAACUCGGAGUGAGUCCAAUUGAAGACUGGUCUCAGCCCAUUGAAAAGCCUGCGUGGUGCAUUUGAGGGCAGCAAAGAAAUCAUUUUUCUCUGCCACCAUUGCCUUUGCACAGUAUCAUCCACUGCAGUGCCUUGAGUGCUCAGGGGCUUUUUAUGCUCUGCCCCACUACUCAGUAGUCUGCUGUGAGGAAUUUGCAUGAUACUCUGAAAAUCACUGACCCGCUGUUUUAUUUUUGAAGAGCUGGUGUUGCUGUGUUGUCCUUUGUCAUUCUUUUUUUCAGCUUCAAUAAUAACAAAUUCCUGCUGAAACAAUGCACUACAUUUGAUAGGCAGUCAUUUUGGUGUCACUUCAUGGUGGCACCCAGUGUGGUCCGCACCCUAUAGUGAUGCCACUGCAGCUUGGACCCCCUUGUUUGCAUGAGAAUCAAUCCACCUGAUGCUUUGGCUGCCUGGGAUUUGUCGGAGCCUGCUCUCUUCCUCUCUACUCCUCAGUGAGUGACAGACAGGUCCCUCGUUGCCAUCCUCCUACUCUGUUCUUUCUCUGUCGGUGGUAACUAUUUCAUAAUUUAUCAGUUUAUUUUUGUCCCUUUGAAGCUCAGUUAUAUGUUGGAGAUGUCAAGAUAAAGCAAUUAGUGCUCUCACAAGUCUCUGGACGGCUAAUGUUGGCCAGGAAGGCACUCAAAAAUGCUUCUGUAAUGCAAUCCUGUCUCGACAAGAAAACAGCCUGGAAGCCACACCAAAUGGCUGAAAAUGGCUUUAAAAAGCAAACUAAUUUCAGGGUUCUUGAUAUAAGAUUUUGCAUUUUGAUGAAAGACUCCAGGAACUUGAGGAACAAGCUUCAAUUUCCUUUAAGUUUUCUUACCCCGCCCCACCAGUUUCAAAUGUGUUCAGCCAGGUGAGGGGAGACACAGAAUUAUUUUCUUAUUUCAGAUUUCUUUCUAAAGCUUCAUUUUCCCCACAGACUCUCAUCUCAAUGCUCAAAAUUAAAUUUUUGCAGCCCACACCGUUUCCAUAUUUCCCGUUCUUUGUUUUGACCUGCGAGAGUCCAACGCAGAGCGAAGAUUAUUUGCCAGAUGUUCAGUACUCUCUUGCUAGUCUUUCUCUUCAUGCUCAGUUUUCCAAAGUAGCAUGAAUCAAGUCCAUAGCUUGCUUUUUUGCUCCAUGAUCUUCUCUUUCCCUUAAUUUUCAAUCUCCAAAGAAAAUAAAUCUUUUUAAAACUUAAGAGCGACUGUCAGUGAAUUUUUGUUUAAAACAAAAAAAAAAUGUUUUUGGCUGCAGUAGUUGCCAGUCCUCAGAUGUCAGCUUCAAAGUCUUUUCUGGUGAUUUGCAUAUCUCUCCCAGAAGGUCUUGCCCUUUACUUCCAGAGAUUUAUUAUUAGAGUCUAGGUUAUUUGCUCUCCCACUUCUAACGGGUUUUUUUAGAUUGGAUCAUUAGCCAUCAGUCUCCAUUGCCUUUUAAAGGACCUCAGGAUUUGGAUGCCAUCCCUCAAGUGAUCUAUUUUCUGCUAAAAAUGUGGUGGACGUUCAUUAGAAGUCCAUUUGCCCUCCAUAUGCCUCCAAUAUUUGUCAUCUGAUUGUUUCCAUUCUCUUUGCCCUAGGCAAGAACACACAGCAUGAGGUACAGCAGCCGCUGACUUGGCUUUCUCCUCUGAUUAUUAAGAAAAAUAUCUCUAGAUCUAGGGAUAUUGUAAACUCCUUGAGUUGGAAAGGUGACCCAGUCCUGGAACUUGUGUACUUAGUCAGCAACCACUGUGUGUAACUAAUAAGUAAAAAAAAUUAGUUAGAAAAUCAACCCCCCAAACUUGGUCAACUUAUCCAUGGCUAAGUACGGUGUUUUGCCUCUUAUCAGCAAAAGAAAUAUCUGUGAGUAAAGUGACAAAAGGCGAGAGCUUCAUUUGUCCUGGGAGAAUCUAGAUAUACUGGCUUCCUUUGCUUUCUUUGCGGCAAUGCAACUUCUUUUGAAGGUCUGGCAAGAAAGUGAUGAUGCUGGCCAGGUGCAGCUGGUCCCCUGAAUGAGCAUUACUGUCUUCCCUUCUUCAUGGAAUGACUUUGGACUUAUCCAGCGCUCAUAUAAAAAACAUAGUUUUGGCCCCAGUUUAUGCCCUCGACAUAUACACAAGAUCACCAUAUAUAUGGGUAUAAGAGUACUUCUGUGCUGAGCAAAGUCCAUACUGUAUAACUUCAUUUUGCUGUCAUUGUGUGCCAACUCUUGUUUCCAACUCUCAGCUACCCUAAGGCGAGACUAUUAUGGGAUUUUUCUGAGGGAUUAUUUUGUUUGUUUUUGAGGCUGAGGUCACCUAGCGGAUUUCCAUGGCCAUGCGGGGAUUUGAACCCUGGUCCCUCACACUUCCAAUCAAUAUUGGGAAGAAAGUUGUGAGCUUUACCUUUCGCUCGGUGGUCCUCUUCUUUGGGGCACUGCCCUCCCUCCCACCACUUUCGCUUCAAGAUUUCCAGGCGGUUGUUCUCCUGCAGCUGAAGAAUGGCCAAGUCAAACUCAUCCCGAAAAAGCGAACCUGCAAAGCAGGGAGAGAGACACAGAGGGAGAUAUUUCAAAGGAGGAACAGAUAUGCUGAAUUUCAAGGUGUUUUGGCCUGCUUGGUUUUUUAUUUUUACAAAAUGCAUAAUUUAUUGUACAAUUGAGAUAUGCAGAUGUGGUCUUUUUAACUUCCCAUUUACAUAUAUAUUUCAAAUUUUAAGACUUUUUUUGGAAAAUAUAUGACUCUUUUGCAGUGUUUUUAUUCACCGGCCCCAGGUUUUUAAAGUACAGCACCAAGCCUAUUGUUAUACAACUGUGUUCAUGGAGGAAAGCACUAUAACAUAUCCACAACUGAACUGGUACUGGAUCAUUGUAGGAAAAGGGAAUCAGAAACAUUAUUUUGAGGAUUGAAAAAACACAUUUUCAAUGACUCUGCAAUGUAACAAUGCAUGGAGAGCAAUAUUUUGUGGAUCUUUCUACAUUGGCCAAAGAAAGCAUCUCUCUUUCUUCACUUUGAAACAAAAAGAACAUACACUAUCUGACUGCAAUGCUUUGACAAACACGUAAGAACCCUAUUGCGGCUCAGCUGGAAAGCGGCAAAGUGUUAUCUGAAGCCCUGUCCUCUCCUCCUGAACACGAACAGCAGUGUCUUGCUUCAAAAACGCAUCAGCAAAAGCCAUAUCUCUGUGUAGACAGGCCAAGGAUACAUUAUCAAAUGGUCUUAAAUGCUGUGUGAUGCUAAAAGCCGUUGAAAACCCAUGAAUUUGACAGCUUUCGCUGCACCGAGAGGACCCCCGAGGGACUGCAUGCUUCAAUUUUAGCAAUAGCGUUGCAGCUUUCUAGCAUUAUUACUGCACCUACAAACAACGUUGAAAUCUCUGCUGCCUCUUUUGAACACUUAAGGGAUAUGGUAAAAAAAGGUUUGUGAACUCCAGCUUACAGACAAUAAAAGAACCAGAAAAAGAACCCAGGCAACAGAAAGUUGUGUUUUGAUAGAGUAGGUCAGUCUCUGAUAAUCUUUUAGGACAGUGGUUCUCAACUGGGGUCCCCAGAUGUUUUUGGCCUUCAACUCCCAGAAAUCCUAACAGCUGGUAAAUUGGCUGGGAUUUCUGGGAGUUGUAGGCCAAAACACUUGGGGACCCACAUGUUGAGAACCACUGUUUUAGAAUCAUCAACACCUGCAGAAAAUAAUUGCAUAAAAUAUCUAACAAAGCAUCUACAUAUAUAGGAAAGAGUCCAAAGGAAAAUACAGCAUCAGACUAGAGAGCUUGCAUUCAAUCCACCUGUUGUCGUGCAGGCACAUCUACACUAGAAUUAAUGCCAUUUUACAACCAUUUAAUUGCUGUGGCUUAAUGAUAUAGCCUCCUUGGAGAUGUAGCGCUCUCUGACAGAGUUGUAAAACUACAACUCCUAUGAUUACAUAGCACUGAGUCAAGUAAUGUCAAAUUUUAGGGCCAUGGUGGCACAGUGGGUUAAACUGCUAAACUGCAGAGCUUGCUGAUUGGAAGGUCUGCAGUUCAAAUCCGUGGACUGGGUGAGCUCCCAUUGUUAGCCCUAGCUUCUGCCAACCUAGCAGUUCGAAAACAUUUAUUUAUUUUAUUUAUUUACAGCAUUUAUACUCCACCCUUCUCACCCCGACGGGGACUCGGGGCGGAUCACAUUACACAUAUAGGCAAACAUUCAAUGCCUUGACAUAGAACAAAGACAAGACAAAUGCAGGCUCCGAGCUGGCCUCGAACUCAUGACCUCUUGGUCAGAGUGAUUGGUCUCAGCUGGCUGCUCACAAGCUUGCGCCACAGCCCGGGCCUGCAAAUGUAAGUAGAUCAAUAGGUACUGCUCUGAUGGGAAGAUAAUGGCUCUCCAUGCAUUCAUGCUCAUGGGUGGGGUGUGAUGCUCAUCUCCAUUGGCUUAGAAAUGGAGAUGAGCAUCACCCUUAGAGUCGGACAUGACUAGACUUAAUGUCAAGGGAAAACUUCACCUAAUGUCAAACUGUUACAGUAGAGUCUCACUUAUCCAAGACUCGCUUAUCCAAGGUUCUGGAUUAUCCAAUGCAUUUUUGUAGUCAAUGUUUUCAAUAUAUCGUGAUAUUUUGGUGCUAAAUUCGUAAAUACAGUAAUUACUACACAGUAUUACUGCGUAUUGAACUACUUUUUCUGUCAAAUUUGUUGUAUAACGUGAUGUUUUGGUGCUUAAUUUGUAAAAUCAUAACCUAAUUUGAUCUUUAAUAGACUUCCUUAAUCCCUCCUUAUUAUCCAAGAUAUUCGCUUAUCCAAGUUUCUGACGGCCUGUUUAGCUUGGAUAAGUGAGACUCUACUGUAAUUCCUUAAUGUUGACACUCCCUUUGUGGUGCCUCAAUUACAUUUGCAUUCUUUUCUUGUAAACCAUUUAUGUGUUUUAAAUGCAUUUUUUUAUCCUGUAUUUUUGUUUUAAUUGAUUUAUUGUAUUACUGUUUUAUCUUUUUAUAGUGUGAUUUGUAUUAUGUUGCCUAUGUUUUGUCCUAUGUUGUUUGGGCUCUGCCCCAUGUAAGCCGCCCGGAGUCCCCGCGGGGAGAUGGUGGCGGGGUAUAAAUAAAGUUUUAUUAUGAUUUUAUUAAACCUCAAAUUUAUUUA